AAAUUGAAGAGUUUGAUCAUGGCUCAGAUUGAACGCUGGCGGCAGGCCUAACACAUGCAAGUCGAGCGGUAGCACAGAGAGCUUGCUCUCGGGUGACGAGCGGCGGACGGGUGAGUAAUGUCUGGGAAACUGCCUGAUGGAGGGGGAUAACUACUGGAAACGGUAGCUAAUACCGCAUAAUGUCGCAAGACCAAAGUGGGGGACCUUCGGGCCUCAUGCCAUCAGAUGUGCCCAGAUGGGAUUAGCUAGUAGGUGGGGUAACGGCUCACCUAGGCGACGAUCCCUAGCUGGUCUGAGAGGAUGACCAGCCACACUGGAACUGAGACACGGUCCAGACUCCUACGGGAGGCAGCAGUGGGGAAUAUUGCACAAUGGGCGCAAGCCUGAUGCAGCCAUGCCGCGUGUGUGAAGAAGGCCUUCGGGUUGUAAAGCACUUUCAGCGGGGAGGAAGGCGUUAAGGUUAAUAACCUUGGCGAUUGACGUUACCCGCAGAAGAAGCACCGGCUAACUCCGUGCCAGCAGCCGCGGUAAUACGGAGGGUGCAAGCGUUAAUCGGAAUUACUGGGCGUAAAGCGCACGCAGGCGGUCUGUCAAGUCGGAUGUGAAAUCCCCGGGCUCAACCUGGGAACUGCAUUCGAAACUGGCAGGCUAGAGUCUUGUAGAGGGGGGUAGAAUUCCAGGUGUAGCGGUGAAAUGCGUAGAGAUCUGGAGGAAUACCGGUGGCGAAGGCGGCCCCCUGGACAAAGACUGACGCUCAGGUGCGAAAGCGUGGGGAGCAAACAGGAUUAGAUACCCUGGUAGUCCACGCCGUAAACGAUGUCGAUUUGGAGGUUGUGCACUUGAGGCGUGGCUUCCGGAGCUAACGCGUUAAAUCGACCGCCUGGGGAGUACGGCCGCAAGGUUAAAACUCAAAUGAAUUGACGGGGGCCCGCACAAGCGGUGGAGCAUGUGGUUUAAUUCGAUGCAACGCGAAGAACCUUACCUGGUCUUGACAUCCACAGAACUUUCCAGAGAUGGAUUGGUGCCUUCGGGAACUGUGAGACAGGUGCUGCAUGGCUGUCGUCAGCUCGUGUUGUGAAAUGUUGGGUUAAGUCCCGCAACGAGCGCAACCCUUAUCCUUUGUUGCCAGCGGUCCGGCCGGGAACUCAAAGGAGACUGCCAGUGAUAAACUGGAGGAAGGUGGGGAUGACGUCAAGUCAUCAUGGCCCUUACGACCAGGGCUACACACGUGCUACAAUGGCAUAUACAAAGAGAAGCGACCUCGCGAGAGCAAGCGGACCUCAUAAAGUAUGUCGUAGUCCGGAUUGGAGUCUGCAACUCGACUCCAUGAAGUCGGAAUCGCUAGUAAUCGUAGAUCAGAAUGCUACGGUGAAUACGUUCCCGGGCCUUGUACACACCGCCCGUCACACCAUGGGAGUGGGUUGCAAAAGAAGUAGGUAGCUUAACCUUCGGGAGGGCGCUUACCACUUUGUGAUUCAUGACUGGGGUGAAGUCGUAACAAGGUAACCGUAGGGGAACCUGCGGUUGGAUCACCUCCUUA
rnacentral:rRNA from 1 species